rnacentral:rRNA from 1 species
CCUACGGGAGGCAGCAGUGGGGAAUAUUGCACAAUGGGCGCAAGCCUGAUGCAGCCAUGCCGCGUGUGUGAAGAAGGCCUUCGGGUUGUAAAGCACUUUCAGCGGGGAGGAAGGCGGUGAGGUUAAUAACCUCAUCGAUUGACGUUACCCGCAGAAGAAGCACCGGCUAACUCCGUGCCAGCAGCCGCGGUAAUACGGAGGGUGCAAGCGUUAAUCGGAAUUACUGGGCGUAAAGCGCACGCAGGCGGUCUGUCAAGUCGGAUGUGAAAUCCCCGGGCUCAACCUGGGAACUGCAUUCGAAACUGGCAGGCUAGAGUCUUGUAGAGGGGGGUAGAAUUCCAGGUGUAGCGGUGAAAUGCGUAGAGAUCUGGAGGAAUACCGAUGGCGAAGGCAGCCAUCUGGCCUAACACUGACGCUGAGGUACGAAAGCAUGGGGAGCAAACAGGAUUAGAUACCCUAGUAGUC